rnacentral:rRNA from 1 species
UUCGCCCUUAGAGUUUGAUCCUGGCUCAGGACGAACGCUGGCGGCGUGCUUAACACAUGCAAGUCGAACGGAGCACCCUUGAAAGAGAUUUCGGUCAAUGGAUAGGAAUGCUUAGUGGCGGACGGGUGAGUAACGCGUGAGGAACCUGCCUUUCAGAGGGGGACAACAGCUGGAAACGGCUGCUAAUACCGCAUAACACAUAGGUGUCGCAUGGCAUUUAUGUCAAAGAUUUAUCGCUGAGAGAUGGCCUCGCGUCUGAUUAGCUAGUUGGUAGGGUAACGGCCUACCAAGGCGACGAUCAGUAGCCGGACUGAGAGGUUGGCCGGCCACAUUGGGACUGAGAUACGGCCCAGACUCCUACGGGAGGCAGCAGUGGGGAAUAUUGGGCAAUGGGCGCAAGCCUGACCCAGCAACGCCGCGUGAAGGAAGAAGGCUUUCGGGUUGUAAACUUCUUUUAAGAGGGAAGAGUAGAAGACGGUACCUCUUGAAUAAGCCACGGCUAACUACGUGCCAGCAGCCGCGGUAAUACGUAGGUGGCAAGCGUUGUCCGGAUUUACUGGGUGUAAAGGGCGUGUAGCCGGGCCGGCAAGUCAGAUGUGAAAUCCCAAGGCUCAACCUUGGAACUGCAUUUGAAACUGUAGUUCUUGAGUACUGGAGAGGCAGACGGAAUUCCUAGUGUAGCGGUGAAAUGCGUAGAUAUUAGGAGGAACACCAGUGGCGAAGGCGGUCUGCUGGACAGCAACUGACGCUGAGGCGCGAAAGCGUGGGGAGCAAACAGGAUUAGAUACCCUGGUAGUCCACGCUGUAAACGAUGGAUACUAGGUGUGGGGGGACUGACCCCCUCCGUGCCGCAGUUAACACAAUAAGUAUCCCACCUGGGGAGUACGAUCGCAAGGUUGAAACUCAAAGGAAUUGACGGGGGCCCGCACAAGCGGUGGAGUAUGUGGUUUAAUUCGAAGCAACGCGAAGAACCUUACCAGGGCUUGACAUCCCGGUGACCGCUCUAGAGAUAGAGCUUUCUCUUCGGAGACACUGGAGACAGGUGGUGCAUGGUUGUCGUCAGCUCGUGUCGUGAGAUGUUGGGUUAAGUCCCGCAACGAGCGCAACCCUUAUCUUCAGUAGCCAGCACGUAGAGGUGGGCACUCUGGAGAGACUGCCAGGGAGAACCUGGAGGAAGGUGGGGAUGACGUCAAAUCAUCAUGCCCCUUAUGUCCAGGGCUACACACGUGCUACAAUGGCGUAAACAAAGGGAAGCGAACACGCGAGUGUAAGCGAAUCUCAAAAAUAACGUCCCAGUUCGGAUUGCAGUCUGCAACUCGACUGCAUGAAGCUGGAAUCGCUAGUAAUCGCGAAUCAGAAUGUCGCGGUGAAUACGUUCCCGGGUCUUGCACACACCGCCCG